UAGGGAAUAUUGGACAAUGGGCGAAAGCCUGAUCCAGCCAUGCCGCGUGAAUGAAGAAGGCCUUAGGGUUGUAAAGUUCUUUCGUCGGGGAAGAUAGUGACGGUACCCGAAGAAGAAGCUCCGGCUAACUCCGUGCCAGCAGCCGCGGUAAGACGGAGGGGGCUAGCGUUGUUCGGAAUUACUGGGCGUAAAGCGCGCGUAGGCGGUUUUUUAAGUUGGGUGUGAAAGCCCGGGGCUUAACCCCGGAAAUGCGCCCAAGACUGGGAGACUGGAGUCCGGGAGAGGUGGGUAGAAUUCCGAGUGUAGAGGUGAAAUUCGUAGAUAUUCGGAGGAAUACCGGUGGCGAAGGCGGCCCACUGGACCGGUACUGACGCUGAGGCGCGAAAGCGUGGGGAGCAAACAGG
rnacentral:rRNA from 1 species